rnacentral:rRNA from 1 species
UACGUAGGUGGCAAGCGUUGUCCGGAUUUACUGGGUGUAAAGGGCGUGUAGGCGGGAUGGAAAGUCAGAUGUGAAAUACCGAGGCUCAACCUCGGGGCUGCAUUUGAAACUUCCAUUCUUGAGUGCAGGAGAGGAAAGCGGAAUUCCUAGUGUAGCGGUGAAAUGCGUAGAUAUUAGGAGGAACACCAGUGGCGAAGGCGGCUUUCUGGACUGUAACUGACGCUGAGGCGCGAAAGCAUGGGGAGCGAACAGG